CAGAGCGAACGUUAGCGGCGGGCCUAACACAUGCAAGUCGAACGCGAAAGGUCUUCGGACUGAGUAGAGUGGCGCACGGGUGAGUAACACGUAGGUAAUCUACCCUUUGGCGGGGGAUAACGUUCCGAAAGGAGCGCUAAUACCGCAUAAGACCACGGAGUCUCCGGACGCUGUGGGAAAAGGUGGCCUCUUCUUGAAAGCUACCACCGAAGGAUGAGCCUGCGUCCCAUCAGCUAGUUGGUAAGGUAAUGGCUUACCAAGGCGAAGACGGGUAGCUGGUUUGAGAGAAUGAUCAGCCACACUGGCACUGGAACACGGGCCAGACUCCUACGGGAGGCAGCAGUGAGGAAUAUUGGGCAAUGGGCGAAAGCCUGACCCAGCCACGCCGCGUGAGUGAUGAAGGCCCUCGGGUCGUAAAGCUCUGUGGAGAGGGACGAAAACCCUGGUUUCAAAUAGGCUCCAGGCUUGACGGUACCUCUUUAGCAAGCACCGGCUAACUCUGUG
rnacentral:rRNA from 1 species